rnacentral:rRNA from 1 species
UACGUAGGGGGCAAGCGUUGUCCGGAAUCAUUGGGCGUAAAGCGCGUGUAGGCGGCCCGGUAAGUCCGCUGUGAAAGUCGGGGGCUCAACCCUCGAAUGCCGGUGGAUACUGUCGGGCUAGAGUGCGGAAGAGGCGAGUGGAAUUCCUGGUGUAGCGGUGAAAUGCGCAGAUAUCAGGAGGAACACCAAUGGCGAAGGCAGCUCGCUGGGACGUUACUGACGCUGAGACGCGAAAGCGUGGGGAGCAAACAGG